UACGAAGGGGACUAGCGUUGUUCGGAAUUACUGGGAGUAAAGCACACGUAGGCGGACUGUUAAGUCAGGGGUGAAAUCCCGGGGCUCAACCCCGGAACUGCCUUUGAUACUGUCAGUCUCGAGUUCGAGAGAGGUGAGUGGAAUUCCGAGUGUAGAGGUGAAAUACGUAGAUAUUCGGAGGAACACCAGAUGCGAAGGAGUCUCACGGGUAUGAUUUUGACGCUGAGGUGCGAAAGCGUGGGGAGCAAACAGG
rnacentral:rRNA from 1 species